rnacentral:rRNA from 1 species
UACGAAGGGUGCAAGCGUUAAUCGGAAUUACUGGGCGUAAAGCGUGCGUAGGUGGUUUCUUAAGUCUGCUGUGAAAGCCCUGGGCUCAACCUGGGAAUGGCGGUGGAUACUGAGGAGCUAGAGUGCGGUAGAGGAGGGUGGAAUUCCCGGUGUAGCGGUGAAAUGCGUAGAGAUCGGGAGGAACACCAAUGGCGAAGGCAGCUCUCUGGGACGGUACUGACGCUGAGACGCGAAAGCGUGGGGAGCGAACAGG